AGGCAGCAGUGGGGAAUAUUGGACAAUGGGGGAAACCCUGAUCCAGCCAUGCCGCGUGUGUGAAGAAGGCCUUUUGGUUGUAAAGCACUUUAAGCAGUGAAGAAGACUCCGUGGUUAAUACCCACGGACGAUGACAUUAGCUGCAGAAUAAGCACCGGCUAACUCUGUGCCAGCAGCCGCGGUAAUACAGAGGGUGCAAGCGUUAAUCGGAAUUACUGGGCGUAAAGCGAGCGUAGGUGGCUUGAUAAGUCAGAUGUGAAAUCCCCGGGCUUAACCUGGGAACUGCAUCUGAAACUGUUAGGCUAGAGUAGGUGAGAGGGAAGUAGAAUUUCAGGUGUAGCGGUGAAAUGCGUAGAGAUCUGAAGGAAUACCGAUGGCGAAGGCAGCUUCCUGGCAUCAUACUGACACUGAGGCUCGAAAGCGUGGGUAGCAAACAGGAUUAGAUACCCUGGUAGUCCACGCCGUAAACGAUGUCUACUAGUCGUUGGGUCCCUUGAGGACUUAGUGACGCAGCUAACGCAAUAAGUAGACCGCCUGGGGAGUACGGCCGCAAGGUUAAAACUCAAAUGAAUUGACGG
rnacentral:rRNA from 1 species